GGAGAGGUCGCAUAGCCCGGUUUAGUGCGGCGGUUUGCUAAACCGCUGUGGUGUUGAAAAGCGCCACCGGGGGUUCAAAUCCCCCCCUCUCCGCCA
rnacentral:tRNA from 4 species